rnacentral:lncRNA from 1 species
CAUCCAAGGAAUCAUCGGACCUCGGGUGCGCACUCAUCUCCUCUUCAAUCGCUCAUAAUGAUAUCCUGCAUAUUUUGAACGCGUUUGAAUUACUCCUGUCUUAGUUGGAUAAGUUAUAAAUCAAAUCUUUUAAACUAAGGUUGGAUAUUGUGUUAGAAUCAGCAUUGAAAGGAUUCAGAGCCAUUGGUUUAUUUUUACCUGCAGGGAAAGAAAGGACUCAAAGGGGAGCAAGGAGAUAAGGUGAGUUCAUCCCACAUACAUGUCCACUCUCUCUUCAUUUGGCUGAAAAUAUUGGCUCUUAAAUUGAUUCUUUCACUUUAUGUCUUUAUUCAAAUUCAGCCAGGGGUCACACCAGAGUAAGGGUGUGUGUAUGUGAGUGUGUGCAUGCAUAUGGAUGUUUUAAGUGUUGAAUAAACACACAAAUGUUUUUCCUUUUUAGGGGGAACAAGGAGAGACAGGACCGAUUGGACCACAAGGACCGACAGGACAGACGGGGCCCUUGGGGUUAAAAGGAGAUGAAGGUCAGAGAGGAGCCCCUGGAGAUCCUGCCAAGGGUAUAAUUGGCCCAACUGGAAAAAAGGGUACAAGGGUGAGUAACCAAAUUCUGCUUUUUUUUUUUCAAAGAUACAUUGUGU